UACGUAGGGUGCGAGCGUUGUCCGGAAUUAUUGGGCGUAAAGGGCUCGUAGGCGGUUUGUCGCGUCGGGAGUGAAAACCCAGGGCUUAACCCUGGGCUGGCUUCCGAUACGGGGCAGACUAGAGGUAUGCAGGGGAGAACGGAAUUCCUGGUGUAGCGGUGAAAUGCGCAGAUAUCAGGAGGAACACCGGUGGCGAAGGCGGUUCUCUGGGCAUUACCUGACGCUGAGGAGCGAAAGUGUGGGGAGCGAACAGG
rnacentral:rRNA from 1 species